AACGAACGCUGGCGGCGUGCUUAACACAUGCAAGUCGAACGUGAUCCGGGCUUCGGCCUGGUGAAAGUGGCGCACGGGUGAGUAACACGUGGAUAAUCUACCCGAUGAUCCGGGAUAACACUUCGAAAGGGGUGCUAAUACCGGGUAAGCCCACGGACUCUUCGGAGUUUGCGGGAAAAGGUGGGGACCUUCGGGCCUACUGUCAUCGGAUGAGUCCGCGGCCCAUUAGCUAGUUGGUAGGGUAACGGCCUACCAAGGGGACGAUGGGUAGCUGGUCUUGGAGGAUGAUCCGCCACACUGGAACGGAGACACGGUCCAGACUCCUACGGGAGGGAGCAGUGGGGAAUUUUGCGGAAUGGGCGAAAGCCUGACGCAGCAACGCCGCGGGAGUGAUGAAGGCCUUCGGGUCGUAAAGCUCUGUCAGAGGGGAAGAACCACCUGAAGGUUAAUAUCCUUCAGGCCUGACGGUACCCUCAAAGGAAGCACCGGCUAACUCCGUGCCAGCCGCCGCAGUAA
rnacentral:rRNA from 1 species